GAGGCGCGAAAGCGUGGGUAGCAAACAGGAUUAGAUACCCUGGUAGUCCACGCCGUAAACGAUGAGCACUAACUAUUGGGAGGCUUGACCUACUCAGUGGUACAGCUAACGCAUUAAGUGCUCCGCCUGGGGAGUACGGUCGCAAGAUUAAAACUCAAAGGAAUUGACGGGGGCCCGCACAAGCGGUGGAUUAUGUGGUUUAAUUCGAAGCAACGCGCAGAACCUUACCUGGGCUUGAAAUCCUACGAACCUGCCUGAAAGGGCGGGGUGCACUUCGGUGAAUGUAGUGACAGGCGCUGCAUGGCUGUCGUCAGCUCGUGUUGUGAAAUGUUGGGUUAAGUCUCGCAACGAGCGCAACCCCUAUCUUCUGUUGCCAGCAUUAAGUUGGGCACUCUGGAGAGACUGCCUGGGUUAACCAGGAGGAAGGUGGGGAUGACGUCAAGUCCUCAUGGCCCUUAUGUCCAGGGCUACACACGUAAUACAAUGGUCAACACAAAGGGUAGCCAACCAGCGAUGGGGAGCUAAUCUCAAAAAGUUGAUCUCAGUCCGGAUUGGAGUCUGCAACUCGACUCCAUGAAGUUGGAAUCGCUAGUAAUCGUGGAUCAGCACGCCACGGUGAAUACGUUCCCGGGCCUUGUACACACCGCCC
rnacentral:rRNA from 1 species